rnacentral:rRNA from 1 species
CCUACGGGGGGCUGCAGUGGGGAAUAUUGGACAAUGGGGGCAACCCUGAUCCAGCCAUGCCGCGUGUGUGAAGAAGGCCCUCGGGUUGUAAAGCACUUUCAGUGAGGAAGAACGCCUGGUGGUUAAUACCCAUCAGGAAAGACAUCACUCACAGAAGAAGCACCGGCUAACUCCGUGCCAGCAGCCGCGGUAAUACGGAGGGUGCGAGCGUUAAUCGGAAUUACUGGGCGUAAAGCGCGCGUAGGUGGCUUGAUAAGCCGGUUGUGAAAGCCCCGGGCUCAACCUGGGAACGGCAUCCGGAACUGUCAAGCUAGAGUGCAGGAGAGGAAGGUAGAAUUCCCGGUGUAGCGGUGAAAUGCGUAGAGAUCGGGAGGAAUACCAGUGGCGAAGGCGGCCUUCUGGACUGACACUGACACUGAGGUGCGAAAGCGUGGGUAGCAAACAGGAUUAGAUACCCCGGUAGUC